AGAAAAAUUAGAUGUUUAACAAAAUUAAAAAAUAUUUUUAAAAUUUUGAAAAAUCAUUAUUGUAAUAUUUUUUUUUUUUAAGAAACAUUAGAUUGGUUUCCUAAAGACACUUUCAGACAUGCUUCCACUAAAAACACGAGCCUAAUAGUGACAAUAGUGACAAAGAAAUCAUACAUUUGUGAUCAUCCUCUCAAAUUGCAGUAGUGAUAGACAAAUGUAUAUCAUGUUCACACCCCCUAAGAUAUGUUCUUGUACCCACCUUGGGUGUGAGAGACAAACUAUAGUAUUAGUGACAGAUAAAUCACACAUUUUUAUCACGCACCUGUGGCCCUAUACUUGCCAUGAGAGGCAUAAAUCAUGGUAGUAGCAGACAAAUCUCAAUCCUCCCAAAUCAUAGUAGUGGUAGAUAAAUCAUACAUUUGUGAUUACAUAUAAUUAGACAAAUAAAUAAAUGGGGGAGUGAUUUCAACUCGAGACCUCUAAAUAACCUAAAAUCUGAUUAUGUUAAGUAAUCAAUUUUCCUCAAAGUUUUAAGUUAUCAAGAAUUGGACCCAUAUUUUGCAUAUCAUAUUCUAACAAAAGCAAUAUUAGUUUAGGUUAGGCUAAUCUACAUAGGUGGUCUAAAAAUAUUCUUGGCCCCUGACCUCCAAACCGGUUUCUCCUAUUGGUAAGAAAUAAGUAUAAUGACCAAAGAACUUGCUGUAAUCCUUGGUCUAAUUGAAAUGUAAGCUGGCAUUCCAUGAAUUGUUUGGGGGAAUAUAAUUGAAUUUCAUUUAUUCUUGUAUUUGGGAGUUCAAGCCAAGCAAGACACAAUAAGUUUUUGUGAGCAUGUUAGAUACAUUAAAAAUCAAUACAUGAGGAAGUUCAAAUAUGAUCAUUAAAAAACAGGAACUAGAAAAAAGGUAUUAGAAUGUGCAGUAAAUUGCAAGAGACAAUCUUUUGUGUUUGACUUGUUCAAAGGAAGGGAUGUAAGCAUGGAAUCCUAUAAAUAUACAAGCUUUCUAGUUGUCUUACCCUCAAACCCCCUCUUAUUAUGGGAUGUUAGUUCCUUUCCUUAAUAAAUUUUUUCUAUUUACUUCAAACCUCCUCUUAUUAUGGGGAUGUUAGUU
rnacentral:lncRNA from 1 species